rnacentral:lncRNA from 1 species
AAGCAGACAUCCUGAUAAACUCAUUUUCACCAACUAAUCAUAAAAUAACAGAAUUUUAGAACGAUGUAACGAAUUCUACAUAAGGCACUAGCGGCAGAAUAAUUGAAGUUACCGCUCAGCCGACUUAAAUACCAGUGCGGUGGGAAGUAACAAAUUACAUGAUCCGUAAAACAGUUAUCAAUAAAAAUAUCACCAAUUGUUUAAAAAAACGGUUUUGCUAUUUAACAGUCAAGUGUUUUUCAAUUCGUCAUCACUCAAAUUUCUGUCCGUCCGUUCUCGCGCGAAGAUUCGCGCUGGUUUUCCUUUUUUCUUGGCGCUGACGCCCUAUUUGCUCCGGUUGGUUUUUUUUACCGAGUUCGGCUUUCUUUGUUUCAACCCGUAACCGCCCCGUCCCAGUACUGCUGGUUUUUUGUCCUGUUCGAAUUUUGGAGUGGGUGUCGAUAAGGUCGAGGGAGAGGACUCGAGCGGCGGUGGAGAAGACGCGAUUUCAUGGUGAUUCCGAGCUAUUUCACCGUUCAAUUUUGAUUUUUCCUCCCUUUUCUCUUCACUCCCCUGCUNNNNNNNNNNNNNNNNNNNNNNNNNNNNNNNNNNNNNNNNNNNNNNNNNNNNNNNNNNNNNNNNNNNNNNNNNNNNNNNNNNNNNNNNNNNNNNNNNNNNNNNNNNNNNNNNNNNNNNNNNNNNNNNNNNNNNNNNNNNNNNNNNNNNNNNNNNNNNNNNNNNNNNNNNNNNNUAUUUUUGCUGGUGUUGUGGUCCUGUAGUUCCAGAUCUAGGUGAGUUUCGUCAUCGUGGGUUCAUGGAUGGUCUGUUUGCUGUUGUUCAUGGAUCCGUGGUACGUGUUGCCGUGUUGUUCUAGCCUGCCCUCCGUAGUCCGCCCAAUUUCCCGCAUCCAUUCUGCUCGCCUGAGUUGCGUAUGAGCUUGUAGUUGCGGGUUUUAGGUCAUUGUAGUCGUUUUUCUCCCCUGACUUUAGGUGUACUAGGCUUUAGAUUUGUUUAUUUCGUGCUGUAGAUGCUCGAGGUUCGUGUACUGGUAGUUGCAGCAGAUCAACUUGCGACCUGGUACUGGUAUACAGGGUGAUUUCCCUGUUAAAUUUUCUGCUAGCCAGUGGUGUCCGUUCCCUUUGCUGUUUGAUGAUAGUUGUAGGUGGCUGGUCAUGAUUUCUCCUGGUAGCUGUGUUCUUCAGGAAUUUAUCUGAAUUUGAUGCUUCUACUACUGUGUUUUUACCCCCAGAAUUAUAGUAUACCUCAGAAUUUAAGUGUAUGUUGCAGAACCGGACUGUAGUUUCCCCUACACUUACACUGUCUAGCUUUUCUGUUUGUAAUGGCUGGAGGUAUGCAUACUGGUUGUUGCAGAGGUUGAUUUCCCUGUAUUUUUCUGCUAGUUCCUUUUCCGUUAGAUGAUAGUUGGAGAUUAUGCGAUGUAGUUUUUGUAGUUGUAGGUGGCUGCUCAUGAUUUUCCCUGGUAGCCGAGGUAUGUCUGAAUGUGUUCCAGGAAUCUCUCUGAAUUUGAUGCUUCUAUUACAGUGUUUGCACUGAAAUUUCCAGUCGAAUUUCAGUUUUCUUACACUGUAUUUAUCAGUGUAUUUACAGUCUAAUAUUAGUGUACUUUCUUUAUUACUUGCACUGUAAUAUCAGUGUACUAACUAUGCAAUUACACUAUAGUAUCAGUGUACUUACACUAUAAAUCCCAGUGUAAUUUCAGUAAAUUUACUUUGCAAUCCUAUUUGUUUUCAGCAUUUGGUUAGUUAGUCAUGCAAGUGGAUCUCUCUGUAUUGUAGCUCAAAUUUACAUUGAUCUUACCCCCCAUAUUUUCAGUGUAACUACUGUGUAAUCUGUUUGGAGAAUCUCACUGUUCCUGAUUUUACAGUGUAAUACUCCCAUUUUUACAGUGUAAUUCUCCCAUAUUUGUUGUAAUUACUAUGUAAUAUGUUCUAGUAGUACGACUGUGUAACUUACAGUGUAAUACUCCCAUAUUACAUGUAAUUCUCAUGCUUUUACAAUUCUCCCAUGUUUGUAAUUACUGUGUAAUUUACAGUGUACUACUUCCAAAUACUCCCAGAAUUACAAUAUAACUUUCCUCCCAGAAUUACUGUGUAAUUUCCAAUUACAGUGUAAUUUGUCCUAGCAGUACUGUGUAAUUUUCCCCCUAAUUCCAGUGUAAUUCCUGAUUAUAGUGUAUAUCCCGAGUCACAAAUUCAAGUGUAAUUCCUGAUUACAGUGUAUAUCCGAGAUACAGUGAUGUUUCGGUAGUUUAUUCUAUUAAGUGCUGAUUCUUUAAAUGAUCCUUUUGUGCCUAGUGACUUUGCGGAACAUGGUUCUAAUGCUAUGUCUUUGGUAGUUAUUUCUGUCUUGUUCUCUACUUUCAUUCUCUUUUUUAUUUUCUCUUCCAGUUUAUAGUUUUUCUAUUUGUUGACUGAAUUAUUUUUCAGGGUCUUUCUAGUGAUGAUGGAGGGUUUGAUAAAGCUAUUUUCAAUUUCUAUUGAAUCAUGUGAGCCUUUCUGAUCUAGUCUUAAUUUUCUGAUAACUUAUCUUUUUUAUUCUUAGGAAUUACAGUGUAAUUUAGCCCAGAAUUAGUGUAGUAUGCCCCUAGUAUUAUAGUGUAAUUUAUCCCAGAAUUUCAUUGCAAUCCCCGUGCUUUCUUUUUGUAAUUGCAGUGUAAAAUACCCUAGAAUUGCAGUGUAAUUUAGCCUAGAUUUUAGUGUAAUUCCAAUGCUUCAUUUUUUGUAAUUAUAGUGUAAUUUUUCCAGAAUUACAGUGUAAACUCCAUGCUUCAUUUAUGUAAUUACAGUGUAUUUUUUCCCAAAAUUACAGUGUAAAUUUGAUGCUUCAUUUAUGUAAUUACAGUGUAAUCUUUCCUAGAAUUUUGGUGUAAUUUAAAAAAAUCCGAACAAAGUAGUGUAAUUUUCAUUCUAAACCUUUGUAUUUCUUGAUAUUUGAGAUUCAUUUCUUGUUCAGCUUUGCUUGAAUUACAGUGGAUUUCAACUCUUUUUUGUGUGAUUAUGCUGUGUAGUUCCUUGUUUGUUAACUUAUUAUCAUUCUAAUCCACUAGUGUGAUUAUUCAUUCCCUUCACUGUCCAUGUAUACCGGCACUGUAACAAGCUCUGCUUUUCAUUGCUAAUAUUAAUGCCUUCAUCUGAUGGGACUUGUGUUCUUUAUGGUGAUAGGUCUGUCUCUGUAUUCAUGACUUCAUCUGAACUUGGUUGUAUCUCUGUACUUAUUCUGUUCAGCUUUUGCUUGAAUUUACAGUGGAUUUUAACUCUUUGAAUUACAGUGUAAUAUCUCUUAGUUGCUCCGUAAUUUCCACUAUAUUUGUUGUGUUAUAUGCCCCAGAUUUAUAUUGUAAUAUCCCCUAGAAUUACAUUGUAGAUUAUCUCUGAAUUGUAUUCAAUAAUGCUAGAAUACAGUGUAAUAUUUCCCAAGUUUGCAUUGUAUGUCAUGUAGGUAUUACACUGGAAUUCAUCUCAUUUUUUCCAUGAGUGUCAUGAGUUGUAUAACUCUGUAAUUUCCCCAGAGUUCAUGUUAGUUGCAUUGCCCUGUGUCGUAGCAAAGAUCUUUUCAUGUGUACUGCAGCAAAGUUUUUUUCAUGUAAUUUCCUCAUGGUUCAUGUUACAUGUUACCUACAUUGCCCUGUACUGCAUCAAAGAUUUUUUUCAUGUGUACCUUACACUGGAAUUCGUGUUGGUGUAGUGUUUUGACAGUGAAACAUUAACAGUUUUACCUUCAGACAGUUAGAAUUUUUCCCCCGACGAUUCCAAAAUUUUCACUAGAUUGUAUGAUGUUUUUUUUCUGCAGACUAGUUCAUGUAGCAGGUGUAUGUAGAGAAGCAGGGUGAGGAAAAACAUGGAAGAGUUCAACAGAAGUGUGAUCAAGAGGAGUAGUACAUUUCCCCAGCCGUGCACCGUGUCUUGGGUGAUUUUCCUCUAUCCUAUACCAAUUAUUCGGAUCUGUUCUCCCCCCUUGCUUCUCUCUACGUACUUGCCCCUCUGUUGUGCCUCUCUGACCUGAUUUUGUUACUCUCUCUCUCUCUCUCAUGAUGUCUCCUUGAUGUUUUCUGCUCUUUCUUCUCCUCAUUUCCCCUCUCCCGUGGCGCCUCCCAGAUGAGUUGUGUGAUGCAAGUUAAAGGAGGGUCCUAGGAGACACCAGUACUCUGAUGAUUUUUGUUCUUUUUCUUUGUCAGAAAUAGAAACAGUAUGAAAUUCCCCCUGUUAUCGUUGUUCAGCAGCAACAAGAGAAAACAAACACUUCUGCAGCAUUUUCGUUCUUUUUCUUUCCUGGUGUUGAAGUCCAUUCAGGGUGUACAUUACAUUCAAGCGGGUCAGAGUUUACCCGACCCGUUUUCUCCGAAAUAGACGGUAGACGGUGGAGGGUUUUGGGGACAUACAGGUGUCAACUUUUUAUUGGUCUGUAUUUUUGAUUGUUGUCGAAUUGAAAAACAAUCGAAUGUCAAAUAGACAUUCCCUAAAAAAAUCAAGGGAUAACCUAGCUAGCAUAUGCAAUAUAUAUGUGACCCAGGGGAAAGAACUGCAUCAGAUUGCCCCUGUCAAACAAAAUGCAGGAGACACAUGUUGUGUGUGACUAUCCAACCGAAUAAAUUUCAACAUCAAAAAUUAAAGAAGAAGUUGGAUCAGUACGUACCUUAGUAGAAAUAUAGAGUAGGCUGAUCAUUCAUCAUAAGCAAUUUCAGCCCCAGGCGUGAACUCACACGGUCUACAGCAACACAAAAAAUCGCCGCUGCCGCUGCAGCUGCAUUUGAAGCGAAUGCCAGCUCAGCAAGCCCCAUGGCGGCCGUCAUCGGCCCUCGCUCUCUGUAGUGCUCCAACGCUGACGCUCCCGUUCCUGGCCACCUUCCCAUCAUGAAAGAAUCUGCCCACGGCAUGCUCGCGUGCCCCCACUGCGAGCCGAGGCGCCAUCGUUGCCUCAACGGACGUUGGCACUUGCCAGGGAGUGCUCUCCGGUCUCCACAGCAUGCAUCAUCAUGCUCGCCAACCGGCCACAGUCCCCGUCCGUGCGGAGGUAUCCUUCGGUUACAUGACGCACACCCUCGCAAGCUGCUGCACACGCCGCGUCCCCGUCGAGCACUUCC